UAUCCUUGGCUUCGUAUAAGAGAAGAACAGUGACCAUUGACACAAACAAAUGCAGGAGCUUAUUUGUAGCUUAAACAGAGAGGAACAAGAAAGGGGCUUGCUUUAAAUAUCACUAUUUCUCUUUCAUUUCCUCUUCAUAUUCUUCAGCGAAACGACAUCAUCAAUUUCGAAACUUAGGUCUUUUAAGAAAUGACCGUAAAACCAACAGUCGUUUUAAGGGCUAUGCUUGUUGGAGGUCUAGCUGUAUUCGCAAAAGUAGCUGGUGUAAUGAAGGCUGCUGGUGGUGCAAAGCUGGGGGCUGCCGCGACUGCCAUGACAAUAGCAGCUAGUGCUGCUAUGUCAGGAUCAAAACAAGAUCCAAGAGAUGCUUCUCCUUCAAAAUAAUGUUUUUUAAUUAAUUUUUGUACCAGGUGGUAAAAUUUUUUACCAUGUAGAAUAGUUGGCAAAUUCCCAAUGGGCAUGUUGGGAGAAGAAUGGCUAUGUUUGUACUGUAACCUUGAUCAAGAAUGGAUGUUUUACAGCUAGAAAAUAAAAGAAACUAAAGAUUUUGAUUUGCUUU